rfam:Loxodonta africana unplaced genomic scaffold scaffold_10, whole genome shotgun sequence.
UGGCAUAGUGGUUAAGUGCUAUGGCUGCUAACCAAAAGGUUGGCAGUUCAAAUCUGCC